rnacentral:rRNA from 1 species
CACCAGCGCCACGAGUGGUGACCGCAUUUAUUGGGCCUAAAGCGUCCGUAGCCGGUAUGAUAAAUCUUUUGUGAAAUCGUUGCGCUCAACGUAACGGCGUGCAGAAGAGACUGUUAUACUUGGGACUGGGAGGAGUUAGGGGUAUUGGUGGGGGAGCGGUAAAAUGCUAUAAUCCCACUAGGACCACCUGUGGCGAAGGCGCCUAACUAGAACAGAUCCGACGGUGAGGGACGAAAGCCAGGGGAGCGAUCCGG